UCCAGCGGGGACCAGUUUCCCUUUUUUGGAUAUUUUCUUUCUGUCACUGGCUUGAUUCAGUUGGGAGAUUUUACCCUAAACUGAUUAUCGACCAGAGGAACUAACUUUCAUAAAGGAUAAUACUUCGACAGUACCAUAAUGUUAUUUCAAGAAGAGUUCCGUGUUGUGGUCCUGAACAGUGCCUUCCUCUCAUUCUCAUGAACGGCAGGAAAGAUAGUGGCACUCUUCCCCAAAAGGCUGGCCACCCUGCACUAACCGUCUGGGCGGCGAAAUGUGUGUGCUCUGAUAGAGAAUGAGACGGCAUUUGUCCAGUUUAAAAUGAAAACGAAAGAUAGUAAAAUACUUUGCUUGCAUUUAUUUAUAUUUCCUUCCUUUCCAACAUCAAAAUGAUUAUUUAAAAAAGUUUUGUUUCUUGCAUGUGGCAAUCGAAAGAUGUGG